GCCUACGGGGGGCAGCAGUGGGGGAUAUUGCACAAUGGGGGGAACCCUGAUGCAGCGACGCCGCGUGGGUGAGGAAGCGCCUCUGCGCGUAAAGCCCUGUCAGCAGGGAAGAAAAUGACGGUACCUGAAGAAGAAGCCCCGGCUAACUACGUGCCAGCAGCCGCGGUAAUACGUAGGGGGCAAGCGUUAUCCGGAUUUACUGGGUGUAAAGGGGGCGCAGACGGCGAUGCAAGCCAGGAGUGAAAGCCCGGGGCCCAACCCCGGGACUGCUCUUGGAACUGCGUGGCCGGAGUGCAGGAGGGGCG
rnacentral:rRNA from 1 species